rnacentral:rRNA from 1 species
UACGGAGGGUGCAAGCGUUGCUCGGAAUCACUGGGCGUAAAGGGCGUGUAGGCGGUUUCGUAUGUCUGGCGUGAAAGCCCCGGGCUCAACCCGGGAAGUGCGUUGGAAACUGCGAAACUAGAGUCUCGGAGAGGAAGGUGGAAUUCCAGGUGUAGCGGUGAAAUGCGUAGAUAUCUGGAAGAACACCGGUGGCGAAGGCGGCCUUCUGGACGAUGACUGACGCUGAGACGCGAAAGCGUGGGGAGCAAACAGG